rnacentral:lncRNA from 1 species
GUCUCCAACUUGCUUGUGGAUUUAUUGACCAUCAGUUCCCUCUUCAGCUUUCACCUGACAGGGCUCGCCCGCUCUAUUUUAGAGCAAGGAGCUGGGAGCAGCACCUGUUCCCCAGUCUCUAAUGAUGGGCUGGGCAUUUUGACGGCGCCCUCCUUCAAUCAACCCACCCCCAGGUGUCAGUGUUUCUGCUUUCCACCUCACCCCGCCCUUCCCGCCGCUCCGCAUCUCUACCUCCGUGGGUGAGGACCCGGGGAGGAGGGAAAUCCGCCCUCAGAGACACAAGCUCCCCAGCUAGUUACCUGCUUUGGAGAGCAUCAAGUCGAUCGGGCGAACCCACCUGCAUGCCAAAGUUUGGGACGUGGGGGAGCUGGGGCACCUAACGUGAGGCCAUGGCUCAACAGUGGGGUCCGGAGGAGACCGGGGAAGAUGCGGCUGGAGACGGAUUCACCGACGUCAUCAAGAGUCGCGCUGCCUUUAGGGAAGGAGAGAUGAAGUAUGAGAAGACACCUUGUCAGGGUGUGGUCCACCGCUUGGAGUUAAGAAAUGUGAGAAGUUUCACCUUCCUUCUAGCAGCGCUGAAGGAAAAUGUCUCAGCGGUACAUAUGAAAUCUUGCGUGACCAGAGCACAGCUACAGGAGUUGAAAGUCGUUAUAGCAGUAGGACCGAAAAGUCUAAGGCUUUUGCUGCCACUUCCUACUUCUCUACCUCCCCGCCUACUGCCUGCGCGCCUGUAAAUUUCAUUUGUAUUAAAUCUGAUGUUUGGUAGUCAGGCCUACGUGUGGAAACGCUUGCAACUCAGGACGGGUCUUUAAGGCUAUAAAUGGAAGCAGCUGUUUAGCUUUCCCUAAGGAUAAAGUUUCAGCUGUCUGAAUCUACUGCCUCUCACCCUCCCUUGGAAAAGCAUCAAUUUGCGUACAGCAAAAUAAUAGAGUUCUACAUUUUUUAUGUACAUUUCAGGGUAUUGAAGAGGGCAGAGAUAUAAAGUCACUGUACAUGUUUUUUUGAAGUGAGGUGAAAGAGAAGGUCACAAGAGAAAACAGAAAGGAGUAAAAUACAAAAGUUGAGUAAAGUAUAGACAAGAUUUCAAAAGAUGGUAGACUAGGAUUUUGGGAACUUUAAUGUGGUCUUGUAGUUACAAGUAGUACAAAUUGGUGGAUGAUGCCUGGAAGUCACAAAAUAAUAGUGCCUCUGACAAUGUCUGGGAGAAAUUGUUUUAAGAUCACACUUACCUUCUUCUUGCCUCUUUCAUAAGCUGAAAUGUUUUAGAUAUUAAAAGAAGCAGGAAACUUUUUAAAACAAAAUACCCUAAGCAUAAUAAAAUUGACUUUAAGUAGAUACUCUAAAAUAGCGUCAAAAAAUUGGAUAUUUUUAUACACUGGUUUACAAUUCCUGUUUAUAUUGGACAACCUUCAGAUUAAAAUCAUCUGAAAUAUGCAAACGAUAUUUACUAUACACCUGUUACAUAGAAUUGGUUUGAAAAAUGUGUGAAUUUAGCGAUUAAUUUUACAUGCUUAUUCUAUUUAUCACUGUUCUCAAACUUAAACUUGCCAAUCCAAAGAGUGAAAAAGAAAAGGCCUCAGAAAUAUAGUCUCAAAGCUAGAUUCAUAUAAGUUUGUGUGUUUUGGACACAGCUAGAUUGACUCCAUCCUGAAGAAAAUUCAACCUGCACUUAUAUUACUUAGGAUUUCAUAUUUGAUACUACUAUUGAGACAUUUAAGAAUGCAGUGAUUG